GAAGUCCUGGCCCUCAGUUCCCUAAGAGAGUUACCACUCGCAGUUCCACGUGCAAGUUACUACCUAAAAUUGCCAAUAGAAAGUAAGGUCCUUCGCAGCAAAAUAUUUAUACAACCACUGGGGCCACUCAGCGGGGUGUGGAGGCGGGGAGGGAGGAGGAGUAAAGGCUGUUUACAAACUUGGCGUACAGACGCAGCCCUAUCCGAAAGGUUCUGAGAUUGGGGGUUACAGUAUUGAGAUCUGGGGGCGUUCUGAUGCCCAUGGCUCCGGUGCCUGAUUUAUGCCCACCUCGGCCGUAACCUUUCGAAGAACAGAAGGAUUCCUGUGCUCUGGCCCUAGGUCUUGGGGCAGCGAUGACUCACCGCAGCACCCCCUCCGCCUUCGCCAAACUGCCGUCUCCGCCCACCCCCAAACAAUCUCGACAACGCGCCGCGGUUCCUGGAGCCUUGCUGCGGCUUAAGAGGUUCAUCUCCAUCCCUGCAUCCCAGCAGGCUAAACCUCGCCGCUCGCGUCUUGCCUAGCUCCCCAUUCAACCCCUCCGUUGAGCGCCGGAGAUGGAUGCGACAUCCAUACAGGGAUCUCUGGACCCACGAACAGCAGCGAGCAGAAGGGGCAGCCGAGCACCCCGCACAGUGGAUAAUAUUGUAUUCAGUCCUCCUGACAACUCAGUGAAAUCGGAAUGACAUUAGCCCAACUUUUCAGAAGAGGAAAUGAAAGCACAGAGAGGAUAAGCAACUUGCCCAAGGUUGCACAGCCUGUCAAACGAUACAUAUCGGUGGCAUUCAUGGCAAGCAUAACUGCAAUAAACUUCAGCUACUGUUGGGCUCUAUGCAAGAAGGAGCAAUUAUAAAAAGCAAGAGUUUGGAGGUAUAAUUUUCUUUCAGGCACUGUCAUCUUAGUGGUGGUGGUGCCUGAAUUCCGGUUACAGUAGGCAACACAAAUUCACCCAUGUGAAUUUUUUAAAUGAACAUUUCUUAUACCUGAUUAUUCAGUUCAUUAAUUCAGAGCACAAAUCUGAACUUCAUGGAACUUGUAUUUGCUCUAAGGUACUUUUUCCUGUAAAACAGAGGUCAAAGUAGAGAAAUGGUUUCCUGAGCGGUGACUUUAGUCCUUGUGUCCAGGAGUGGCAGAGGUCCUAAAAAUAAAAACUGACAUAAUUCAAGACUCUCUUCUCUCUACUUCACUGAUCAGGUGAAAGGGAAGGGAACCAACUGUUAAGAGACAGUAAAUGCAGUAAAAUUUUAGACAAUUAUUAAAAAUUGAGGAAGAGCUGUAUCUUUUAGUAUAUAAAAUGUCCAAGAUGUAUUAUUGAGUCACAGUGUUGUUUGUCUAAUUGGGUCCUAUAGUAGUAAAAACAAAAUUAAACAGCAACAACGAGAUCUCAGCCUGUGCAAGAAUAGAAUAUGCAUUAAAAAAAAAAAGUCUCCAAAGAUGGAUAUACAUCAAACUGUGAUCAUAUGACUAUAGUCUCUGGGACUGGGAAUUAUGGAGAUCUUUUUUACUUUCUGCAUUUCUAUG